CCACUAGGACACGGUGCAUGUGCCACCGCGCCGUGAAAAAGGCGGACUAGGAACAACUUCAAAACGCUGCCGUAGGGACGCAAAGAACAAGUAUGAAACCCCCACCACGCUUUAUACUUCCAUCAUUCCCCAGGAGUCACUGGUGCGAGGAUGAAAAACCGAAAGAACGCAAUACGACAGCCAUAGCUUUAACUUUCUGCGAGAGAGCCUGCUGGGCAGAAACUCAAGGCAAAGCCUGUGACCGUAAGAACUGCUUUCGAUUUGUUUCUUUGGUAGGUUAAGUGAAUUUUUACGAAUGUGUCUUAGUCUGCCUAGACCAUGUAACGACCAUGUUUUUUUUUUUUUUUACAAAGGGCAGGCUUCUGGGUCGGAUACUUGGAGGCCAUCAACCUGGACUCUACGGAUCGGCGAAAUCUGGAGAGCGCCAUGACCUUGUCUAAGGUGCCAUUAUUAACUCAGGUUGCCUUGGACUGCAUGGUAAAACCCCCACAGCUCGCUGAACCUUCCUACGACUUGUAUAAUAAGGAGAAAACAAGCAUAAUGGAAUCCUUGGCGGAAAGAGCGCGGCUUGCAGAGGAAAAGGUAAACGCAAUCGAAGGCAUGCAUUGCAGUCCAAUACAGGGGGCCACGUCCGCCUACGUUCGUGUCCAUAUACCUGAGAAAGCCAUAGAGGAA